AUUGAACGCUGGCGGCAGGCCUAACACAUGCAAGUCGAGCGGAUGAAGGGAGCUUGCUCCUGGAUUCAGCGGCGGACGGGUGAGUAAUGCCUAGGAAUCUGCCUGGUAGGGGGGGAUAACGUCCGGAAACGGGCGCUAAUACCGCAUACGUCGUGAGGGAGAAAGUGGGGGGGCUUCGGACCGCACGCUAUCAGAGGAGCCUAGGUCGGAUUAGCUAGUUGGUGGGGUAAAGGCCUACCAAGGCGACGAUCCGUAACUGGUCUGAGAGGAUGAUCAGUCACCCUGGAACUGAGACACGCUCCAGACUCCUACGGGAGGCCGCAGUGGGGAAUAUUGGACAAUGGGCGAAAGCCUUAUCCAGCCAUGCCGCGUGUGUGAAGACGGUCUUCGGAUUGUAAAGCACUUUAAGUUGGGAUGAAGGGCAGUAAGUUAAUACCUUGCUGUUUUGACGUUACCAACAGAAUAAGCACCGGCUAACUUCGUG
rnacentral:rRNA from 1 species